UGUUUCCUGAGAUGUACGAUAGUCUAUGAUAAUUCAACCGACAUAUUAUAUACGGGAGUCUGAGUUCAUUAGUUGAUGAUAUGCCUGUUCUAACAGGACAUCAGAGGUUAGUGGCAGGACACCCACCUGCAGAAGUGCGGGUGUGAAUUAGCUAGACCGCCGGCAUCAUGGGAAUAUA
rnacentral:other from 1 species